rnacentral:ncRNA from 1 species
UCGGCUUAAGGCCCAACUGAGUUUGAUAAUGGCUCCAAUCAAGAUAAAAUAGUGUUAUGUAAUUUGCAUUCACAGAGUGGACAAUGAUAUUCAAUCCCGGUAGAUAUAUUGUUUGCUAAAAGAGUGUACCAGAAAGAUCGGAUAGACUCUCUAAACUUAUACUUUAAAUGUGUAAUUCCCAUGAUUACAAUCUAAAAUUAUCGUAACCUGAUUUUAUAACUAUUCAGUACAAUGUGUAGUUUUUUUGUGGCUCUGACUUGGGAGAUAAGAUUAGAUAAUAGACCCGGAUUAGUACCCGGUUAUUCUAAAUUAAUAAGAUUUCGGGAGUAAAGUAAUAUUUAAACCGGAAUUAUAUUGGGAGCACCCUAAAUUAUCCUUGGAGCUUGAGUAGUAAUCGAGAACCCUCGUUAUCAGCUUGAACUUUAGUCGCAUGUAUGUUCGUCAAAGAUCCUUCUUAACGGUGUGUUCGCAAUAGAUAGUUCUCUAAUAGGACAGAUAAAUACCUGGUUUAUGUUUGAGUGUGUAAUUUGGGCUACAGUGCCGGAGGGCGAUUUAGUUCGGAGUAUCUGGAGAGAUUUGGAUAUGAAGUUGUAAAGGACAGUAAAGUGCUUUUAAUGGGUGCUUGAAGAAUACCUGGGGUGGGUACAAAUCAUCCAUCAAUUGCCCACAGGGGAGUAAGUUGUAGUAAAGUAGGUGUAGGGGAAUCUGUACCUAGUAG